UGCCAGCAGCCGCGGUAAUACGUAGGGUGCGAGCGUUAAUCGGAAUUACUGGGCGUAAAGCGUGCGCAGGCGGAUUGUUAAGCAAGACGUGAAAUCCCCGGGCUUAACCUGGGAAUGGCGUUUUGAACUGGCAGUCUAGAGUGUGUCAGAGGGGGGUAGAAUUCCACGUGUAGCAGUGAAAUGCGUAGAGAUGUGGAGGAAUACCGAUGGCGAAGGCAGCCCCCUGGGAUAACACUGACGCUCAUGUACGAAAGCGUGGGUAGCAAACAGGAUUAGAUACCCUGGUAGUCCACGCCCUAAACGAUGUCAACUGGUUGUUGGGGGAGUGAAAUCCCUUAGUAACGAAGCUAACGCGUGAAGUUGACCGCCUGGGGAGUACGGUCGCAAGAUUAAAACUCAAAGGAAUUGACGG
rnacentral:rRNA from 1 species